rnacentral:rRNA from 1 species
UACGUAGGGGGCAAGCGUUGUCCGGAUUUAUUGGGCGUAAAGAGCGUGUAGGCGGCCUGAAAGGUCAGCUGUGAAAACUCGAGGCUCAACCUCGAGACGUCGGUUGAAACCAUCUGGCUAGAGUCCGGAAGAGGAGAGUGGAAUUCCCAGUGUAGAGGUGAAAUUCGUAGAUAUUGGGAAGAACACCGGUGGCGAAGGCGGCGACCUGGUCCGAUACUGACGCUGAGGCGCGAAAGCGUGGGGAGCAAACAGG